rnacentral:sRNA from 1 species
GUGAGGGAGGGUGUGACUAGUGAGAGAGUUAGGGAGGGAAGGGGUAACUAGUGACAGAGGGAGGGGUGACUAGGGACAGAGGGAGGGAGAUGGUGACUAGUGACUAGUGACAGUCAUCACCGCUGUCACUAGUCACCACCUCCCUCCCUCUGUCACCAGUCAUCCCCUUACUCUGUCACUAGUCACCCCUUCCUUCCCUCACUCUGCCACUAGUCACCCCUUCCCUCACUCUGCCACUAGUCACCCCUUCCCUCAC